UACGGGGGGGGGCAAGCGUUGUUCGGAAUUACUGGGCGUAAAGGGCUCGUAGGCGGCCAACUAAGUCGGAUGUGAAAUCCCCAGGCUUAACCUGGGAACUGCAUCCGAUACUGGAUGGCUUGAAUUCGGGAGAGGGAUGCAGAAUUCCAGGUGUAGCGGUGAAAUGCGUAGAUAUCUGGAGGAAUACCGGUGGCGAAGGCGGCAUCCUGGACCGACAUUGACGCUGAGGAGCGAAAGCUAGGGGAGCAAACGGG
rnacentral:rRNA from 1 species